rnacentral:rRNA from 1 species
UACGUAGGGUGCGAGCGUUAAUCGGAAUUACUGGGCGUAAAGCGUGCGCAGGCGGUUCGUGAUGUCUGGUGUGAAAGCCCCGGGCUUAACCUGGGAAUGGCAUUUGGGACUGCAAGGCUGGAGUGCGGCAGAGGAGACUGGAAUUCCUGGUGUAGCAGUGAAAUGCGUAGAUAUCAGGAGGAACACCGAUGGCGAAGGCAGGUCUCUGGGCUGACACUGACGCUCAUGCACGAAAGCGUGGGGAGCAAACAGG